rnacentral:rRNA from 1 species
CUACGGGUGGCUGCAGUGAGGAAUUUUGCGCAAUGGGGGAAACCCUGACGCAGCAACGCCGCGUGAGCGAAGAAGGCCCUCGGGUCGUAAAGCUCUGUCAAGUGGGAAAAAAAUCCCUUGAUCAAUAGUCAAAGGGCUUGAUGGUACCACUGGAGGAAGCACCGGCUAACUCCGUGCCAGCAGCCGCGGUAAUACGGAGGGUGCAAGCGUUGUUCGGAUUUACUGGGCGUAAAGAGCGUGUAGGCGGUUUAGCAAGUCAGAUGUGAAAGCCCUGGGCUCAACCCGGGAAGUGCAUUUGAAACUGCUUCGCUAGAGUAUGGGAGAGGAGAGUGGAAUUCCUGGUGUAGAGGUGAAAUUCGUAGAUAUCAGGAGGAACACCCGUGGCGAAGGCGAUUCUCUGGACCAAUACUGACGCUGAGACGCGAAAGCGUGGGGAGCAAACAGGAUUAGAUACCCUUGUAGUC